rnacentral:misc_RNA from 1 species
CGAGGAGUGCAUGGGGGAGAUUAACAGGACAGCAAAUCUCUGGGGGACAUCGCCGUCCACGCGUGUUGAUGGGGUCCGGGCGGAGGUUGUUGGGCCACUGGAGAGGCCCGUUCCCACCUUGCCCCGACCUUUUUUGUGCGGUGGGCCUCUGGACUUGGUGCGGCCGGGAACGCCUCUGCAGAGAGGUGCAUCUUGUCCGCGUGAGGGGCCUGUUCAGGUUUCGUCCCUGCUUAUGUGUGUUGGGCCACUGGAGCAGAGGAAUGCAUCAAGUCCGCAUGAAGGGCCUCAUCAGGCUGCAGGGUCGCUGGAGCUGGUCCAUGGUCAGGCUCCCCCACUGAAGUAUUAUUCUAGAAGGCGGAUCAGGAGCCAGCAUCAGGUGCAAGAUGAGCUUGAUCCUACAUCCGAUCACAGCAACAACUCUCAAGCUUUGGUUCAGCAAGGUAUCACACCGGUGCAAUCGUUUGUGGCUAGUGUUACAAGACCAAUCUCUUGCAUUCUUCCCCAUCCGCCCCCACAGAAGAGAAAGUCUGCGCAGCUGCCUCCGGAUUUUGUUCCUCGUCGUAGCAGCCGCCUGGCAAGCAAGGGUUUUAAAUCCAGCAAAGAUGCGCCUAUCAGACAUAUCCAGCAGGAUCUCAUUAGAAGGUUGGGUAUUGCUAGUGGAAAUGAGGCUGUUACCACUGAAGCUCUUGAUAAGUAUGGACGUUUCUUCUCCAAUCCACUAUCGGAGUCCCACAUCAAGGCUCUGGUAGCUUUAUUUGGUUGGACUGUUCCUGAAAACGUGGAGAACUUGGAGACCAUUCAGCUCCUCGCAGGAGAUGCCCCGACGGAUUCUGUUUAGGGGGCGCAUAAUUCUCUCCUUUUUCCAGUUUUUUUGUUGUUAGUCGCUUGUUUAAAUGGAUUUGUCCAAAAUCAUCAUUUGGAAUGUAAGAGGUCUUAAUAAGAAAGCCAGAAGAGAUGCAGUUCGUCAG